rnacentral:lncRNA from 1 species
AUGGGCACGGCUAAGGCUAACCACUGGGCGUGGCUGCUGGUGCUCAGAUUCCUGUUUGGGUGCAGUGUCCUUCAGAUCCUACUCCCGUCCUUCUCUUUUAUGUCCAGGGUGCAGCGCAAGGAUGCAGAACAGGAGUCGCAGACCAAAGCAGAGAUCCAGGAUAUGAAGCAAGAGUUAUCCGCGGUCAAUAUGAUGGACAAGUUUGCCAGAUCUGCCAGGCUGGAAAGAAAGAUCAACAAGAUGAUGAAUAAGCUCAAAACUCAUGUGAAAGUACAGACAGCUCAAUCAGGAAUGCUAAAAUGGGUUAUAAGUGUUGCUUUCUACAAAUUGCCAGGUACCGUGAUC